rnacentral:piRNA from 1 species
AAUCCUAAGAGUGUUUGAGACC